UACGUAGGGUGUAAGCGUUAAUCGGAAUUACUGGGCGUAAAGCGUGCGCAGGCGGUUUUGUAAGUCUGUCGUGAAAGCCCCGGGCUCAACCUGGGAAUUGCGAUGGAGACUGCAAGGCUCGAAUCUGGCAGAGGGGGGUAGAAUUCCACGUGUAGCAGUGAAAUGCGUAGAGAUGUGGAGGAACACCGAUGGCGAAGGCAGCCCCCUGGGUCAAGAUUGACGCUCAUGCACGAAAGCGUGGGGAGCAAACAGG
rnacentral:rRNA from 1 species